CCUACGGGUGGCAGCAGUGGGAAUAUUGGACAAUGGGGGGAACCCUGAUCCAGCCAUGCCGCGUGUGUGAAGAAGGCCCUCGGGUUGUAAAGCACUUUCAGUGAGGAAGAACGCCUGGUGGUUAAUACCCAUCAGGAAAGACAUCACUCACAGAAGAAGCACCGGCUAACUCCGUGCCAGCAGCCGCGGUAAUACGGAGGGUGCGAGCGUUAAUCGGAAUUACUGGGCGUAAAGCGCGCGUAGGUGGCUUGAUAAGCCGGUUGUGAAAGCCCCGGGCUCAACCUGGGAACGGCAUCCGGAACUGUCAAGCUAGAGUGCAGGAGAGGAAGGUAGAAUUCCCGGUGUAGCGGUGAAAUGCGUAGAGAUCGGGAGGAAUACCAGUGGCGAAGGCGGCCUUCUGGACUGACACUGACACUGAGGUGCGAAAGCGUGGGUAGCAAACAGGAUUAGAUACCCCUGUAGUC
rnacentral:rRNA from 1 species